GCCCUUCACUUAUAUGGGAAUAUCCAUGAGAAAGAAACAUAAAGGAUCCUGGGCAGGCGUUGAAAAUAAGGAAGAGAGAGGAAGAAAACCACAAAGAAAGAGGCAUACAAAAAGUUUAAAAAAGCUAUAUAUAUAUACACAGAGCUGGAGGUGAACCCAAACACUCAGAGGUAAUUUGCCUUGAGGAGCAAGAGCCCUUGAGACCUAUGUGUGGACUUUGGAAAAAAGAAUGUGUGAACAAUAGUAAAGGAUAUGAACGUGCCAUCCUCUGACAGGUAUGUAAACCUUAAGAUUAAAAUAACUGCUUCAAAAAUCCUUCUGUCAGAGUGAGUUUUCUUUAGCUAGUGUGGGUUUCAGAGGAACUAUCACAAAGACGAUAUAUAUCAAAAGUGGAGACAGCAAAGGAAAAUUCUGUGUGAAAUAUCUAAACAGGUCUGUUCUUGAAGCAUAUUCUCUACAGCCUGACAAGAUUGCUGUGACAUUAGCAUAGUGUUAUAUAGAAUCAGGUAAUUUUGGAUUAGAACUAGUGGAUUUUUGAGAUAUUCCGCUUAAGUUGGAACACCUCAUAACUAAAUUUAAUAUUUUAAGAAAGCAGUUGGUGAAGAAAG
rnacentral:lncRNA from 1 species